AGCAUGGGGUCUGCGAAUGCCCCACGAGGCGCCAUGCCGAAGUUCGCGUCCUUCAUAUGGUUUUCACAUAUGCCUCAUAGAGGGGACGUAACAUG
rfam:Rhizobium sp. CF080 ctg10, whole genome shotgun sequence.